rnacentral:rRNA from 1 species
UCAUUUAGAGGAAGUAAAAGUCGUAACAAGGUUUCCGUAGGUGAACCUGCGGAAGGAUCAUUACCGAGUGCGGGUCCCGAACUUACUUCGGGGCCCUACCUCCGACCCGUGACUACCGAACCUCUGUUGCUUCGGCGUGUUGGCCUCGUCCCACGAGGCGGCGCCGGAGACCUUCUCCUGAACGCUUAUUUAUUUUGAAGGGAAUUGCAGUCUGAGUCGAAACGAUACAAAUCGGUUAAAACUUUCAACAACGGAUCUCUUGGUUCCGGCAUCGAUGAAGAACGCAGCGAAAUGCGAUAAGUAAUGUGAAUUGCAGAAUUCAGUGAAUCAUCGAAUCUUUGAACGCACAUUGCGCCCCCUGGCAUUCCGGGGGGCAUGCCUGUCCGAGCGUCAUUACUGCCCUCAAGCAACGGCUUGUGUGUUGGGCCGCCGUCCUCGCCGUAACUUCGCGCGGGGACGGGUCCGAAAGGCAGCGGCGGCACCGUGUCCGGUCCUCGAGCGUAUGGGGCUUCGUCACCCGCUCCGUAGGCCGGCUCGGCGCCCGCCCAACCUCAUUAUAUUCUUUCUGAAGGUUGACCUCGGAUCAGGUAGGGAUACCCGCCGAACUUAAGCAUAUCAAUAAGCGGAGG